GCCCCUCCAUUCAGCUCUCCGCGACCGGGCAGGCAAGAGGAAGCGAGCGCGAACGGACCUCCCGGGUGUGCGCGCGCGUGUGUAUGAGUGUGCGUUCGCGUGCGUUCCUAUCUCACCUGGAUAUAUCACGUGACCAGACACCUGGGCGUGGGGUUGGCGUGCGAUCAGUUAUUUUGUAGCGGGAAUACCGGAACAGUACGUCCGCGUGUGUUCGCGCUGACAUGUGAACUUUCCUCGCACCGACACCGGGAAUUUAUUGCACGGAUUGCGAACAAGAGUCCGAUAUCUGACAAGUGAGAAGCCAAAGGCGACUGUGACAAGAUAAAAACCUCCAUAAGAUGUUAACUGUAGAUGACGGUGGAGAAGAACCUUGAGAGGAACCAGAAACAGAUCGUGGAGCCCUGAUCAUUGACUGAUUAACACCCC